UUUUAUUUUUGGGGGGGGAUUUUAACUGUACGGAAAAUGAUUUGAAAGACCGUAAUCACGCAGAGCCACAUCCAGCUUCCCAGCGCGUUCUGAGGCAGCUGGUCCAAUCUCAUGGUCUGGUGGAUGUGUGGAGAAGGAUGCAUGCAGACUGCCGACAGUACACGUGGUCCCUUUUUAGAGAAGAGCAAGGCUGGACAUCAGCAGCAGUGGUACCCCAGGCCUGAUGGGGGCGCUGCUGAAAGCACGAGUCCUGUGCCUGCAGCAGCUGGUGGACGCAGUGGGGCCGACGCUGAGCGACGCCCCGGCCCUGGGCUCUCUGCUGGGGCUGCACUCCGUCCGGAUGGCGAGGAGGCUCCUGGAGCUGUGGAACCAGAGGCUGACUGAGGAGGAAAGAAGCCUCCUCACAGACUACAGCCAGAAAGAUGUGGAGCCGGACCCUGCAGACCCCUUCCCCGAGAUCUACCUGAGCCCAGGACUAGGGGAACUCACCGGCCCCCUGCUCGCCACAACACGCCCCGAAGCGCUGACAUUGCACGAAGCAGACAAGAAGACUCUGUAUUUUAACUGUGUGAAGAGCAUAAACCGGUCCGGACUGUGCGACAGGCUCCCCACUGUGUGGUCCAACAGACUGGGACAAAAUGGACCGGGCCCACAGUGGAGGAUUUUAUACAAGCCUCCCCUCAAGAAACGGACUGCCGACCUCCAGUGGAGAAUUUUACACGGUGCUGUCGCCUCCAACGCUUUUAUUUCUGUUAUUAAUCCCACUGUUCUGAGCAAAUGCCCCUUCUGUGACCUCCGAGAGAC
ensembl:lncRNA